AGACCUCUGAUCAGAAAAGACUACCCGCUGAAUUUAAGCAUAUCACUAAGCGGAGGAGAAGAAACUAACCAGGAUUUCCCUAGUAACGGCGAGCGAACCGGAAAGAGCCCAGCUUGAAAAUCGCGG
rnacentral:rRNA from 2 species